GUAGGCGGUUUAAUAAGUGAAUAGUGAAACCUGGUGGCUCAACCAUACAGACUAUUAUUCAAACUGUUAAACUCGAGAAUGGUAGAGGUAACUGGAAUUUCUAGUGUAGGAGUGAAAUCCGUAGAUAUUAGAAGGAACACCGAUGGCGUAGGCAGGUUACUGGGCCAUUUCUGACGCUAAGGCACGAAAGCGUGGGGAGCGAACCGGAUUAGAUACCCGGGUAGUCCACGCCGUAAACGAUGGAUACUAGCUGUUGGAGGUAUCGACCCCUUCAGUAGCGAAGCUAACGCGUUAAGUAUCCCGCCUGUGGAGUACGGCCGCAAGGCUAAAACAUAAAGGAAUUGACGGGGACCCGCACAAGCGGUGGAUUAUGUUCUUUAAUUCGAUGAUAACCGAAGAACCUUACCAGGGCUUGACAUCCAGGGAAGGUCUGCGAAAGUAGACUGUGCCUUUUGGAACCCUGUGACAGGUGAUGCAUGGCCGUCGUCAGCUCGUGUCGUGAGAUGUUAGGUUAAGUCCUUCAACGAGCGCAACCCUUGUGAAUAGUUGUAUUUUUCUAUUCAGACUGCCCCGGUAACGGGGAGGAAGGAGGGGAUGAUGUCAGGUCAGUAUUUCCCUUACGUCCUGGGCUAGAAACGUGAUACAAUGGCUAGUACAAUGCGCAGCGAAGCCCC
rnacentral:rRNA from 1 species